AGGCAUAUCACAUUCUCAGCAAUCAAAAUGACAACCUGCAUAGAUAGCAAGCAGGCUGACCACUGGCCGGGUUGCACAAACGUUCUGUACAAUUAUUUUUUAGACUCCUAUAUAUUACAGACGCCAGGCAACUGUAAAUUAUAAUGGCUCUGUAACAUGUAAUAGAGUUGCGCAAAAAUAUUUGUUAUGAAUCAGUUGAUUAAAUAUAAUGGAUACCGGACAAGAUAUUCUACUCUACAUCGUGUUAUCGGAUAAAUUAAACCAUUUAUAUUUGAUAACCCUGAACAACGGUUAUCUUCAUAGAGUAGAUAACCGAGACUUGAACAUUGAUCAAUAAUAAGUAAUUAAACCGUGGCAAUCUUUUUGCCAAAAAAAAUUAAACGAGUUAUUACUUUAUUAGCGAUUAUGAUUAGAUUAGUAUCUGAGUCGUUUGAAAUCUACAUCAUCAAACUCAAUCAGCGGAUUUGAUCUAUCCCUGAUAUAUUUUGGACUCGGUAAUGGAGUUUAUCACAUCGAUAAUAAAUUCAUCAACACUUAAUGAACAAUUGAGAUAAAAAAAAACUUCAAUACCUAUGAUACAUAAUGCGGAAUGAGAGUAGCCAGUAGGUAUUUUAUACUUCAAUCCAUUUUACAAGGAAAAAUAUUUAAAAAGAGAACCUGACGAAAGAAGAAUAUCUUGGCUUCAGAAUCUAAGGAUAUGGUUUAGAAAUAGCACAUCAGAGUUGUUUUGCGUCGCAACCGACAGAGAGAGCAUUACUAUUUCAGCAGAGAGAGCAUUGCUGGAAUGGUCGCUAACAUUCGGAAUUGGAUAGGCACCUGAAGAAGAAAUAUCUGUAAAUAAUACCGAAUGUUCAAGCAACACCCAAUUUGGUUUACAAUUUUGAUACUAAUGGUUCACACCUAGAUUCACACAUCACAGCAGCAGAAUCAAUAAUGGUUUUCAUCAGUUUUCUGAAAUUUUAGAAUGCUAGUAAAUAUAUUUCAGAUUUUUAGAAUAAUCAUUAAUCAGUUAAAUAUUUUAAAAUAAAAUAAUAUUAGUCUAUAA